rnacentral:snoRNA from 1 species
ACGGCCCCUAGAGGCACUGCAGGUGUGGUGCUGUGUCACCUGUGUGGCGGAAGGUGGCCGAGAGGAGAGAGGCUCUGUCUACACCCCGUGUUCUGACCUGGGAACACCUGAAUGAUUAGAUUAGUAGCCUAUCGAU